UAGGGAAUAUUGCAAAAUGGGCGAAAGCCCGAUGCAGCAACGCCGCGUGGGCGAUGAAGGCCUUCGGGUCGUAAAGCCCUUUUUGAGGGGAUGAGGAAGGACAGUACCCUCAGAAUAAGCCUCGGCUAACUACGUGCCAGCAGCCGCGGUAAAACGUAGGAGGCGAGCGUUAUCCGGAUUUACUGGGCGUAAAGCGCGUGCAGGCGGAUUGGAGAGUUGGAUGUGAAAGCUCCCGGCUUAACUGGGAGAGGUCGUUCAAUACUUCCAGUCUUGAGUGCAGUAGAGGGAAGUGGAAUUCCGGGUGUAGUGGUGAAAUGCGUAGAUAGCCGGAGGAACACCAGUGGCGAAAGCGGCUUCCUGGACUGUAACUGACGCUCAGACGCGAAAGCUAGGGUAGCAAACG
rnacentral:rRNA from 1 species